rnacentral:rRNA from 1 species
UGGGGAAUUUUGCACAAUGGGGGAAACCCUGAUGCAGCGACGCCGCGUGAUUUAGAAGGCCUUCGGGUUGUAAAAAUCUUUUCUAUGGGAAGAAAAUGACAGUACCAUAGGAAUAAGGACCGGCUAAUUACGUGCCAGCAGCCGCGGUAAUACGUAAGGUCCGAGCGUUGUCCGGAAUCAUUGGGCGUAAAGCGAGCGCAGGCGGUUAGAUAAGUCUGAAGUUAAAGGCAGUGGCUCAACCAUUGUAGGCUUUGGAAACUGUUUAACUUGAGUGCAGAAGGGGAGAGUGGAAUUCCAUGUGUAGCGGUGAAAUGCGUAGAUAUAUGGAGGAACACCAGUGGCGAAGGCGACUCCCUGGUCUGUAACUGACGCUGAGGCUCGAAAGCGUGGGUAGCAAACAGG